GCACAUGCACAUGCACAAUAUAUCACUGCUUUGUAAAUGUAUAUUCCCAGGUCUUUUUGAACUUUUGUUCCAGAUCAAGAUGUGCACAUGCUUUAGGGAACUUGUAUUCAGAACAUACUUACAACUGUGAUAAUGUUCCAGCUUAAACUGAUGAUUUGUUGCUUUCUAAGGAGCCUAAACUGCUGCUAGGGUAGAUUAAUUUAACUGGAAUGGAACAAUAUUUUAAUUCCAAUACUGUGAAGACGAAACAUUACAUGUCACUUUUACAAGGCUACAACAUAAAUCUGACCAAUUUCCGCAUAGUUCAAAGUUUCGCCCACGCACACCCUGACUUAGGCUCAAGCCCAAAAUUUCGCAGUUGAUAGGUUGUACAUAACAACUUAACAAACUUGUCGGUUGAUUUAGCUAGCAUACAUGGCUUUAAAUUUUUUCCUUUUAACAAAGUUCUAGGUAUUGUAAAUAUCAUAUGAAGAUCAUCUAGAUUUGAUAUAAUAUACAAAAUUCAAGCUAUUGAAUGGAGAAUGAUACCAUAACCAAGUUUUCUUCUGUUCAUCAAAAGUCAAUUCAUUCUUCAGGGACAAUGUGAUGCCUUUCAUAAUAAAUCAACUUUUCCUACUGUAAC
rnacentral:lncRNA from 1 species